UGAGGAAUAUUGGCCAAUGGACGCAAGUCUGAACCAGCCAAGUAGCGUGCAGGAUGACGGCCCUAUGGGUUGUAAACUGCUUUUAUAUGGGGAUAAAGUGGGGAACGUGUUCCCUUUUGCAGGUACCAUAUGAAUAAGGACCGGCUAAUUCCGUGCCAGCAGCCGCGGUAAUACGGAAGGUUCGGGCGUUAUCCGGCUUUAUUGGGUUUAAAGGGAGCGUAGGCCGUUUGGUAAGCGUGUUGUGAAAUGUAGGAGCUCAACUUCUAGAUUGCAGCGCGAACUGUCAGACUUGAGUGCGCACAACGUAGGCGGAAUUCAUGGUGUAGCGGUGAAAUGCUUAGAUAUCAUGAAGAACUCCGAUUGCGAAGGCAGCUUACGGGAGCGCAACUGACGCUGAAGCUCGAAGGUGCGGGUAUCGAACAGG
rnacentral:rRNA from 1 species